UACGUAGGAUCCAAGCGUUGUCCGGAUUUACUGGGCGUAAAGGGUGCGCAGGCGGACUUAUAAGUCAGAGGUGAAAUCUCACUGCUCAACAGUGAAACUGCCUUUGAUACUGUAGGUCUUGAAUUGGGGAGAGAUUCGUGGAAUUCCGAGUGUAGCAGUGAAAUGUGUAGAUAUUCGGAAGAACACCAGUGGCGAAGGCAGCGAAUUGGCCCUAUAUUGACGCUCAGGCACGAAAGCAUGGGGAUCAAACAGG
rnacentral:rRNA from 1 species